rnacentral:SRP_RNA from 1 species
UGGGAGUUGAGUUUAGACAUCUAUGUCGUAAAUCCGGUCAGGACUGAAAGGUAGCAGCCGUAGCGAGAGACGGUGGGUUAAAUUUCAACUCCUUAAG